GAUGAACGCUGGCGGCGUGCCUAAUACAUGCAAGUCGAGCGAACAGAUAAGGAGCUUGCUCCUUUGACGUUAGCGGCGGACGGGUGAGUAACACGUGGGUAACCUACCUAUAAGACUGGGAUAACUUCGGGAAACCGGAGCUAAUACCGGAUAAUAUUUCGAACCGCAUGGUUCGAUAGUGAAAGAUGGUUUUGCUAUCACUUAUAGAUGGACCCGCGCCGCAUUAGCUAGUUGGUAAGGUAACGGCUUACCAAGGCGACGAUGCGUAGCCGACCUGAGAGGGUGAUCGGCCACACUGGAACUGAGACACGGUCCAGACUCCUACGGGAGGCAGCAGUAGGGAAUCUUCCGCAAUGGGCGAAAGCCUGACGGAGCAACGCCGCGUGAGUGAUGAAGGUCUUCGGAUCGUAAAACUCUGUUAUUAGGGAAGAACAUACGUGUAAGUAACUGUGCACAUCUUGACGGUACCUAAUCAGAAAGCCACGGCUAACUACGUG
rnacentral:rRNA from 1 species